rnacentral:rRNA from 1 species
GUCUAAGGCCAUACUGCCUGAAUGCAACUGCUCUCCUCUGAUCUCAGAAGCUGAGCAGGGUCAGGGCUGGUCAGUACUUGCAUGGGAGAAGAACAGUUAGGUUAAAACU